GCCUACGGGGGGCAGCAGUGGGGAAUCUUCCGCAAUGGGCGAAAGCCUGACGGAGCAACGCCGCGUGAUCGAAUGAAGGCCUUCGGGUUGUAAAGAUCUGUUGACAGGGACGAAUAAGCAAUGCAAAUAGUUUUGUGUAUGACGGUACCUGUUUAGAAAGCUCCGGCUAACUACGUGCCAGCAGCCGCGGUAAUACGUAGGGAGCAAGCGUUGUCCGGAAUUACUGGGCGUAAAGCGAGUGCAGGCGGUUC
rnacentral:rRNA from 1 species